CAUCUUGAUGUCAAGAAACGUCUAUUAAUAUAAAAGAACUUUGAGGACUCUAAAGAAUGUAGUGAUUCGGGAUGGAAAAGAACAUUUUCGUGCUCCAGAGAUGCAGGAGAAAUUGAAGAUGCUUCAUCCACAUAAAAUAUGACCCUCUGAGUCCUGCCAAGGUCAAUGAGACCCAGAGCAAUCAGCUCGAUAUAAAAUUGGGGGUCACUUAUUUACAUUGUGGAAAAACCGUAGGAACAUCUGUUCAAGG
rnacentral:lncRNA from 1 species